rnacentral:rRNA from 1 species
CCUACGGGUGGCAGCAGUGGGGAAUAUUGCACAAUGGGGGCAACCCUGAUGCAGCAACGCCGCGUGAUUGAAGAAGGCCUUCGGGUUGUAAAGCUCUUUCAUCGGGGACGAAUUUUGACGGUACCCGAAAAAUAAGCUCCGGCUAACUACGUGCCAGCAGCCGCGGUAAUCCUGAGGGAGCAAGCGUUAUCCGGAUUUACUGGGUGUAAAGGGCGUGUAGGCGGGCAUGCAAGUCAGAAGUGAAAUCUGGGGGCUUAACCCCCAAACUGCUUUUGGAACUGCGGUGCUUGAGUGAUGGAGAGGCAGGCGGAAUUCCCAGUGUAGCGGUGAAAUGCGUAGAUAUUGGGAGGAACACCAGUGGCGAAGGCGGCUUGCUGGACAGUAACUGACGCUGAGGCGCGAAAGCGUGGGGAGCAAACAGGAUUAGAUACCCGAGUAGUC